rnacentral:rRNA from 1 species
GACGAGGGGUCCAAGCGUUGUUCGGAAUUAUUGGGCGUAAAGCGGGUGUAGGUGGCUCUAUAAGUCAGGAGUGAAAGCCCCGAGCUUAACUUGGGAAGUGCUUUUGAUACUGUAAAGCUUGAAUGUGGGAGAGGAUCGUGGAAUUCCAGGUGUAGUGGUGAAAUACGUAGAUAUCUGGAGGAACACCAAUGGCGAAGGCAGCUCGCUGGGACGUGACUGACGCUGGAGACGCGAAAGCGUGGGGAGCAAACAGG